AUGCAUAAGCAACUGGCAAACAGCAGCUUUACCCACUGUGCUUUCAAAAGGCAUAAAGGUUUAAAGAGACUGCUGGAAGCCUAUAAAGAACAAGAAAUUAUCUCAGCUGGAGCAGAGGAUGGACAGUUCUUCAGAUUUUCAAGUGAGAAGAGGCUCUUUGGGACUUCUAAAGCAGUGAAAAGAAGGCUAAGAAGCUCAAAGCAAGAAGAGCAGGGACAAGAACAUGACAGGUGACAAAGUACUUGCUAUGAUUCAGCAUCCAGCUAUUGCAAAGAAAACUGUGAAUCUUCCAAAAGUAUCUGGGAGCAACGGGAAGCUGCAUUUUGUACCAGUUGACAUCAUCCUUAUAAACUCUGAUUCCAAGAGAAGGUGAAGAAGUGAUUUUCUGGUGAACCUUUGGCAGUCAAAGCCACUACCAACCUCACCUUUCCUAGGAGGGCACUGUUUGGGAGAAAAGUUAUUUAGAAUGCAAGUGGUCUCACCUAAGAAUUAAGCACCUGAUCUAAAGCCAUUAGCUAUACUACCUAUAUAUAUAUAAUAUAUAAAGUGAGAGAGGUAAAAUUAUCACUUUAAAAACUCAGGUGGGAUGAAUCUUUUAGAGGACUUUUCUUCACUUAAAAGGGACCCUUAAUGACUUAAAAGUUCUAUAUACCUGACAUCAGGUACAGUUAAGUUGCUCCUUUAAAACUGAAUAGCACUUCUAGAUGAAAAGAAGGUCAAGUGAGCAGUAAAGUGAUCAAGUACUGGAAAACCUGAAUGAAGGCAAGAACCUGAAGAAAAAGAAGAAAAUCCACAUCACCCACAGAAGUGAUGAACAUCAACAGGUAUUAAGCUAAAUUUCUAGCUGCCUGGAAAACAUAUCAGUGCAGGAGUAUUCUGUGUGCAUGAGAUGACACUUGAAAUAUUUUAACUACUUUCACCAGGAACUGCACAGAGAUAAAUAACACAGCAGAUAAUGUAAAGCUGUAUUAUAACCCACUAUUUCAAGUACCUUUUAUCCAAAAGCAGCUCUUGAGGAAACAUAAAUACAAUAAUUUUAAUAAAGUUUAGAACCUCAUUAAAAUGUGUACUGUA
rnacentral:lncRNA from 1 species